UGUUAAAUCAAAAAUUUUAACCGUUGAGAUGGCUCAUUUUUAAUAUUAGUUUUGUUGGUUGUAUAUUUAACUCGGACUCAACGGCGACUUUAAUGCAUGUUUUUUAGAGAGCUUUAUUUGAUUUUUCUAACGUAGUAGUUUUUUCGACGUUGCAUAUCAUUUAGCAGCAAAGCCUUAUUGCUUAUACGUCAGAAUGGAUUCGUGGAAUAGUGAAAUUACUAGAUCUUCAUCUUCACCUUAUCCCUACGUCGAAGCUACCACUCUACCUAGCGGUUCAGAAAAUCCAGGUUUUUCAUCACAAAAUGACCACUUCUUUCGAUUCGCACAAUGGGGAAUUGCUAUAAGGAAAGAAAGUCUUGUUGAACAACUCGCACCAAAGAAACAAAGCGCUGAUUCAUUGAGAAAAACACAGAGAAGACUAGACGAACUUUUACCACAGGUGAAAGAAAAAAUAAACGCGAAUAUAUACCUGGAUUUGGAGAACAUCACGUACCAAUAUCUUGACCAAGUGCUUCGAUUAAUCGCAAAUCAAGAACAACAUUUGGAAAAGCAAAUCAACAGUUCCGAAACUUGCAUUCAAAGUGUGAAUGAUUUAUACUAUUUCAUGGAUUCAUUGAGCAGCUUGAUACCAAUCGCUGGACCAUUAAAGGCUUUCAAAGGACAUCUUGAGUAUCAAAUUUUUGUCAGCCAAAAUAUUGAACCCGGAUCCCCAAUGAAAAUAGAAGAACGCGUUCUCAAAUGGCUGGCAACAGAGUUAGUGAAAUUGCAGAAAAACAUCCGAAACUCCACAGAAAACUUGUGAUAAGUGAAAAAAGAAAAUAGUGCGACAUACAGCUGAAAUUAAAAAGAGAAAAAGCCUAUCGUUAGAGCGAAAUAUUAAGUCUGCAAAUUAUGGAAAAAAAGUUAUUUCAAAUAAAAAUCUGGUUAUACUGGUAAUCC